UUGUCGUCAGCUCGUGUCGUGAGAUGUUGGGUUAAGUCCCGCAACGAGCGCAACCCCUAUUGUUAGUUGCCAUCAUUCAGUUGGGCACUCUAGCGAGACUGCCGGUAAUAAACCGGAGGAAGUGGGAUGACGUCAAUCAUCAUGCCCCUUAUGACCUGGGCUACACACGUGCUACAAUGGUUGGUACAACGAGUUGCGAGUCGGUGACGGCGAGCUAAUCUCUUAAAGCCAAUCUCAGUUCGGAUUGUAGGCUGCAACUCGCCUACAUGAAGUCGGAAUCGCUAGUAAUCGCGGAUCAGCACGCCGCGGUCGAAUACGUUCCCGGGCCUU
rnacentral:rRNA from 1 species